rnacentral:tRNA from 1 species
CCAUCGGUGGUUCAGUGGUAGUAUGCUCGCCUGCCACGCGGGUUCGAAUCCCGGCCGAUGCA